GACGUAGGGCGCGAGCGUUGUCCGGAUUUAUUGGGCGUAAAGAGCUCGUAGGCGGCUUGUUGCGUCAGCUGUGAAAACCCGCAGCUCAACUGUGGGCUUGCAGCUGAUACGGGCAGGCUUGAGUUCGGUAGGGGAGACUGGAAUUCCUGGUGUAGCGGUGAAAUGCGCAGAUAUCAGGAGGAACACCGGUGUCGAAGGCGGGGUCUCUGGGCCGAUACUGACGCUGAGGAGCGAAAGCGUGGGGAGCGAACAGG
rnacentral:rRNA from 1 species